rnacentral:lncRNA from 1 species
GUGGAAGCCGGAACUUUGAGGAGGCAAGGAAGUUCGGAGGUCCUUCCAGAAGUUUGUAAACACUGCAAAGUCAGGGUAGGGGUCUUUUGCUCUCGGUGGACAGAUACACUGCCAGGGGACUUGGCUCAGCACCAUGAAGAGAGCCUAUGAAUGAAGCCUAGUUGCAGCCAAAGACCCCAGUGUAUUGGAGAUGCCAUUACUGUGAGAUGAUUAUCAAGAAUGGCAGUGGAGUGAAGUCAACCAGAGCCUAGAGUGCUACAGAGGGCAGAGCUGGAGAUGUGACCCAGGCCCUUUGGAGGAGCCCAGAACAUGUGUGGAUCCCAGACACUGGAACAAGAAGCUGUAACACUGAAGUUGCCUUGGAGACCCCAAGACAUUCAAGAUGCCAGAGCUGUAGGAUAUCUGCUGAGGAAAGUUGCUAACAGGGAGUGGAUCCAACCCAUGAGAAAGAAGUUUGUGGCAGUCAACAAAGAUGAAAAAGGAAUUGGGGAUCUGAAGACUGCUUUGACAUCAGCCAUGGAAAUGCAGAUUUGGAGUUUGCCCAGGUGGUUUCCUGUCUUGCUUUGGGGAUUACACUGAAGUUAUUGGGUAAAUCUCAGAAGGGACUUUGAACUUUUAAUAUUGUUGGGACUGGUAUAGACUAUGGGGGCUUUUGAAGUUGGACUGUGUUUUGCAUUAUGCUAUGUUUAGGUGUGGCCCCCAUAGACUCAUACGUUUGAACAAGCCUAUGAGGGCCAGGGAGUGGAAUAUGGUAGUAUGAAUAUGCUUGGCCCAGGGAGUAGCACGAUUAGGAGGCAUGGCCUUGUUGGAGUAGGUGUGGCCUUGGAGUAGGUGUGUCACUGUGGGCUUUAAGACCCUUAUCCUAGCUGCCAGGAAGCCAGUCUUCUAGCAGCUUUCAGAUGAAGAUCUAGAACUCUCAGCUCUACCUGCACCAUGCCUGCCUGGGUGCUGCCAUGAUCCCACUUUGAUGAUAAUGGACUGAACCUCUGAAUCUGUAAGCCAGCCCAAUUAAACAUUGUCCUUAUAAG